AGUUAGAUGAGAAAACACUGUAGCAUAUGAAGAAAAAAAAACACAAAAAAG
rnacentral:sRNA from 1 species